rnacentral:rRNA from 1 species
UGAACGCUAGCGGCAGGCCUAAUACAUGCAAGUCGAGCGGCAAGUUAGGUAGUAAUACUUGACCUAGAGCGGCGCACGGGUGCGUAACGCGUAUGCAACCUACCUUUUACUGGGGGAUAGCCCGGAGAAAUCUGGAUUAAUACCCCAUAGUACCUAAGGAUCGAUUGGUUUUUAGUUUAAAGAUUUAUCGGUAAAAGAUGGGCAUGCGUCUGAUUAGAUAGUUGGCGGGGUAACGGCCCACCAAGUCUACGAUCAAUAGCUGAUGUGAGAGCAUGAUCAGCCACACGGGCACUGAGACACGGGCCCGACUCCUACGGGAGGCAGCAGUAAGGAAUAUUGGGCAAUGGACGCAAGUCUGACCCAGCCAUGCCGCGUGAAGGAUGAAGGUCCUCUGGAUUGUAAACUCUUUUAUCUGGGGCGAAAACAACUCUUUCUAGAGUUCUUGACAGUACCAGAGGAAUAAGCACCGGCUAACUCCGUGCCAGCAG